rnacentral:rRNA from 1 species
GGGUUGUGAGGUUAAGCGACUAAGCGUACACGGUGGAUGCCCUGGCAGUCAGAGGCGAUGAAGGACGUGCUAAUCUGCGAAAAGCGUCGGUAAGGUGAUAUGAACCGUUAUAACCGGCGAUGUCCGAAUGGGGAAACCCAGUGUGAUUCGUCACACUAUCGUUAACUGAAUACAUAGGUUAACGAGGCGAACCGGGGGAACUGAAACAUCUAAGUACCCCGAGGAAAAGAAAUCAACCGAGAUUCCCCCAGUAGCGGCGAGCGAACGGGGAGCAGCCCAGAGUCUGAAUCAGCUUGUGUGUUAGUGGAACGGUCUGGAAAGUCCGACGGUACAGGGUGAUAGUCCCGUACACCAAAAUGCACAGGCUGUGAACUCGAAGAGUAGGGCGGGACACGUGGUAUCCUGUCUGAAUAUGGGGGGACCAUCCUCCAAGGCUAAAUACUCCUGACUGACCGAUAGUGAACCAGUACCGUGAGGGAAAGGCGAAAAGAACCCCGGCGAGGGGAGUGAAAAAGAACCUGAAACCGUGUACGUACAAGCAGUGGGAGCACCUUCGGGUGUGACUGCGUACCUUUUGUAUAAUGGGUCAGCGACUUAUAUUCUGUAGCAAGGUUAACCGUAUAGGGGAGCCGCAGGGAAACCGAGUCUUAACUGGGCGUUAAGUUGCAGGGUAUAGACCCGAAACCCGGUGAUCUAGCCAUGGGCAGGUUGAAGGUUGGGUAACACUAACUGGAGGACCGAACCGACUAAUGUUGAAAAAUUAGCGGAUGACUUGUGGCUGGGGGUGAAAGGCCAAUCAAACCGGGAGAUAGCUGGUUCUCCCCGAAAGCUAUUUAGGUAGCGCCUCGUGAACUCAUCUUCGGGGGUAGAGCACUGUUUCGGCUAGGGGGUCAUCCCGACUUACCAACCCGAUGCAAACUACGAAUACCGAAGAAUGUUAUCACGGGAGACACACGGCGGGUGCUAACGUCCGUCGUGAAGAGGGAAACAACCCAGACCGCCAGCUAAGGUCCCAAAGUCAUGGUUAAGUGGGAAACGAUGUGGGAAGGCACAGACAGCCAGGAUGUUGGCUUAGAAGCAGCCAUCAUUUAAAGAAAGCGUAAUAGCUCACUGGUCGAGUCGGCCUGCGCGGAAGAUGUAACGGGGCUAAACCAUGCACCGAAGCUGCGGCAGCGACACUAUGUGUUGUUGGGUAGGGGAGCGUUCUGUAAGCCUGCGAAGGUGACCUGUGAGGGUUGCUGGAGGUAUCAGAAGUGCGAAUGCUGACAUAAGUAACGAUAAAGCGGGUGAAAAGCCCGCUCGCCGGAAGACCAAGGGUUCCUGUCCAACGUUAAUCGGGGCAGGGUGAGUCGACCCCUAAGGCGAGGCCGAAAGGCGUAGUCGAUGGGAAACAGGUUAAUAUUCCUGUACUUGGUGUUACUGCGAAGGGGGGACGGAGAAGGCUAUGUUAGCCGGGCGACGGUUGUCCCGGUUUAAGCAUGUAGGCUGGUUAUCCAGGCAAAUCCGGAUAAUCAAGGCUGAGGUGUGAUGACGAGGCACUACGGUGCUGAAGUAACAAAUGCCCUGCUUCCAGGAAAAGCCUCUAAGCAUCAGGUAACAUUGAAUCGUACCCCAAACCGACACAGGUGGUCAGGUAGAGAAUACCAAGGCGCUUGAGAGAACUCGGGUGAAGGAACUAGGCAAAAUGGUGCCGUAACUUCGGGAGAAGGCACGCUGGUGUGUAGGUGAAGUCCCUGCGGAUGGAGCUGAGACCAGUCGAAGAUACCAGCUGGCUGCAACUGUUUAUUAAAAACACAGCACUGUGCAAACACGAAAGUGGACGUAUACGGUGUGACGCCUGCCCGGUGCCGGAAGGUUAAUUGAUGGGGUUAUCCGUAAGGAGAAGCUCUUGAUCGAAGCCCCGGUAAACGGCGGCCGUAACUAUAACGGUCCUAAGGUAGCGAAAUUCCUUGUCGGGUAAGUUCCGACCUGCACGAAUGGCGUAAUGAUGGCCAGGCUGUCUCCACCCGAGACUCAGUGAAAUUGAACUCGCUGUGAAGAUGCAGUGUACCCGCGGCAAGACGGAAAGACCCCGUGAACCUUUACUAUAGCUUGACACUGAACAUUGAGCCUUGAUGUGUAGGAUAGGUGGGAGGCUUUGAAGCGUGGACGCCAGUCUGCGUGGAGCCAACCUUGAAAUACCACCCUUUAAUGUUUGAUGUUCUAACGUUGGCCCCU